UGUGUAGCUGGGAUUACAGACAUGUGCCACCACACCCGGCCAGUUGUUGUUUUUUUCCAUAUUGGUGAUUCCGUUAUACCCCAGUGCUCAUUCAUCUUAGUCAAUUCUGCUUUGUUCAGGUCAAAACAUUUGUAAAAGGAAAAAUGUAGCGAAAAUAACUGAGCACCUUGGAGAAGAAAUCCGUAGGUCCCAUCUUCUAAAUACCAGCCAAUUAUUUUAUUCUUUUACCUAGAAAGCCCUUUAAUGUCCCAAACUCAAUUUAUUAUUUAGCUCCUCUUUUCUCUAAAACAGAAUAACACUUCUAGUUUUUCUUAUGGGAUCACUGAGUAUCUCCGAAAUCUUUCUACAACUUGCCACCUUUACUAUCAGCUUACCUCUUACUUACACAAUUGGAAAAGCUUCUAGACUUGUGUUAUUGUCUGCAGAGUCUUUUUCCAUCAGCUGUUGACCCUACUGUUAUCUUAGUUGUUUCUAAAACGCAAGUCAAGUUCCAUCAUGGUCUGUUCAUAAGCUCUGUAAGGCCAUCCCAUUGCCUAUAAAGUAAAGUCCAAAUGUCUUCGCAUAUGCUAUUUCUGACAGAAAGAAAAAAUUAUCUUAUAACUUUCAAGGCAAAUUUUAUCAGAAAGUUUAACAUUAGUGUAUAACCAGUAUAAGAACAAUUAUAAAGUUAAUAUGCCCAAAUUAGAAUAAUUAACAUGCCAGAGGCCUCUUUAAUAUUCUGAAAGAGAUACAAUGACAACUAUGAAAUGAUUCAACUGGUGGCAAAUUACAUGCCACAGAAAGUUUUAUAAUGUAUUUGUAUGGAAAAAAAAGUCCUGUGAUGGAAAAGACAGGGGAGGCAGAGGAGGUGAUGUUAAGUAUUCACAUUGUAGCUAGUUGGUUUUAUGACUUGAGGUAAAGUUUAGAAUCUAAUGUAUCUCAAUACGAUUAUUAUUUUUCAAUUAUCAGACAGAGUAAUAGGCCAUAAGGUCCAACAGGAUUAUAAUAGGGCAUAACGUUCAUUGUGUUAGUGAAUUUGGAACAUCAAAUGUGUUGCACCAAUGAAAGGCUACAUAAAGAGAAACAACUUUUGAAAGAGUCAAAUGAGAGAACUACCCCAUACCCACCCCUAAGCAGUAAAUUUAGAAAAGUUCAUUAGCUUCAGCCUCAAUCUCUUCUCAUUCAUAAAAUGAAGGUAGGAUUAUCAUAGGAAAGAAGUAUAUAAAAUAGCUAGUCCAAUACUAGAGUGGAGAAAUAGUGGAUCACUUCUCUUUUUAUAAUAUUCCUCCUUAAAAUUCCUUGGAUUUGUAUGUAAAACACGCACAUGAAUAAAAUAAGCUAAAAUGGAGAAUAAAAUAUUAAAAUAAAUUUUUUUUACAUCAGAUAUUCAUUGUGAAUCUUACCAACAGGUUAUUUUAUAAUUAAUUAUAUAGCCCUGGAAAAUGGAUCUUACACUGAAUUAAGAAAAUGAUAGAGGCCUCCUUCCUUUACUGAAGGACUUUCCUUUCAGUAUCCCUGCAAACCCCACCUCCCAACCGUCAUCCAACUGCUGAAACAAAGCCAAUCAGCCGCUGAGGCCCAACAGGCAGAGGCUGGAAGCUUUCUGAGAAGUUUCAGGAGCUGCUGCCUUCCGGGAAGAAAGAGAAGCAUUGUGUUCAACCGGUAAAAGAUCCUGAAAUUUUUUAAGGGAACACCAAGUAGGACCCAACAACUAAAAAAGUGAAGAAAACUACUUCAAGUAAGGCAAAGUUGAUCCUCAAAUUCAGAGCUCUUCUUUCCCAGCCCUACAGACAAGUUCAACAUCUUAAAUGUGGAAAAACAAGCCGGAUAAAUGAAACCACAAAACA